rnacentral:rRNA from 1 species
AACGAACGCUGGCGGCAUGCCUAACACAUGCAAGUCGAACGAGACCUCCGGGACUAGUUGCGCACGCGUGCGUAACGCGUGGGAACCUGCCUGUAGGCUCGGAAUAACACAGAGAAAUUUGAGCUAAUACCGGAUGACUUAUUCUGACCAAGGAUUUAUCGCCUUUAUAUGGGCCCGCGUUGGACUAGCUUGGUGGUGGGGUAAAGGCCUAUCAAGGCGACGAUCCAUAGCUGGUAUGAGAGGACGAUCAGCAACACUGGGACUGGGACACGGCCCAGACUCCUGCGGGAGGCAGCAGGGGGGAAUAUGGGACAAUGGGCGAAAGAAUGAGCCAGCAGUGCCGCGUGAGUGAUGAAGGCGUUAGGGUUGUAAAGCUCUUUUACCCGAGAUGAUAAGGACAGUAUCGGAAGAAUAAGCUCCGGCUAAUUCCGU